AAUGCCUCCUUCUUGAGGCUGGGGCUGCAAGGCAGACUUGGGGCUGCUCCCCAGCUCUGCCCACAGCCUCUCAGAGUCCCAUCAAUCCCUUAGAAUAAGGUUGUCUGGGCCUUACAGAGCAGGCCAGUGCCACAGGGACAGCACACUCCCCUUUUAUUCUUUUUUUUGGAGGGGGGAUGGAGUUUCGCUCUUGUUGCCCAGGCUGGAGUGCAAUGGCGUGAUCUCGGCUCACUGCAACCUCUGCCUCCCUAGUUCAAGUGAUUCUCCUGCCUCAGCCUCCCAAGGAGCUGGAAUUACAGGUGCCCGCCACCACACCUGGCUAAUUUUUUUUGUAUUUUUAGUAGAGACGGGGUUUUACCAUGUUGGCCAGGCUGGUCUCGAACUCCUGACCUCAGGUAAUCUACCCACCUCGGUCUCCCAAAGUGCUGGGAUUACAGGCGUGAGCCACUGUGCCCGGCCCCCUUUAAUUCUUUCCCUUCCUCUCUCUCUCCAUCAUUCCCUCUUUUUAGCUGCUGUCUCCCAUUCCCUGGCCUUACUGCUUAUUCCUUCUUUCCUGAUGGGAUUGGCCAAUCUCCUGGAAAGGACAAAAGGCUGUCCUUUGAUCCUCCCCAUCCCCAGGAACAAAGAACAGCGAGUGCCUUUCCCCAGCCCUAAGAUCCUCUGUCUUCUUCCUGUGAGUCCCAGAGACAUUUCUCCUCCCUUCUCCCACUGGUCACCCUCCUGCCAUCUCUUCCCAGUUGAUGCCCUGCACUGGCCUUCACCAGGCUUCCCCCUAUUUUCUACCCUUACCUCUGCUGAAUCCCUGGCCACAGGCAGCUCCUGACCCUGGGUUGGUGUGACUUCUAGGGCUGACAGCUCUAGGACAAAACAGCCUCUGGCUCAGAUUUGGGGUUCUGUAAAAACAGCCUGUUGUUAUAGCAGAUCCUCCGUGGGCUCUGGUGUCUCCCCAGACAUCCCCAUCCCAACUCUUCCACAUGUUGCCCCCAGAUUCCACUCCUCUGACGUGAACACCCCUCUCCGAUACCCUGUUUUAUUUUAACUCUAUUCUUUUUCUCUCCUGCUCUCUCAGAAUUAUCUGUCUGUAUUCCCUUUGCCUAGGCCUUUCUAUUAGACUCCUGAAAGUGACCUCCCCAGCAGUCCAGCCCAUGUAGUUGAGAUCCUGUGACCCUUCCUCAUGAGAAGAUGUCAAUGAAGGGAGACAGGAGGAGCCCAGGAUGGUUCUGCAUGCAACCUUGGGUGAUUCCACUCGCCAGAACAGGACCCCAGACCCCCUUUUGCCUAGAAUUGUGAUGAGUGGCAGGAGUGGGUAUAUCUGAAUGCCGUGGCUAUAAAUCAGAGCUAAGGUUCUCAUGCAUGAUGGGCCAGGGCCAGGUGCUGGGGCUAGGGACAAGGGUAGGGGCAGGAAACAUGGAUUCACUAAGCACGAGGUAGAAAUAAGUGGGAGAGGGAAGAGUCCAGGGUAUCUGAUGGCAUCUUCUUUAACUUGGGUUUUCAGGCCCUCUUACUGUCUGUUGUGGGUUCUCCCUUGUUCCCUUAUCUGGGCCUAAGUUCAAAGCAGGAUGAGGUCACUUUUCUAGUAUAUCCAAACUGUAAUAGCAAAGUCACUGGGAGUAAACACUUCUCAGCUGUGGUCUCUCUUUUCUGCCUGUAUUAUCCAGGAACCUCAAAAAAACAUUGUAGUGAUUAAGAACACAGGUCUGGGGUGAGAGGUUCAAUUUUUUUGUCUUUACCUGAAUGACCUUGAACAAGUUAUUACCUUCUCUGAGCCCCAGUUUUCUCAACUACAGAAUUGUGCCUAAUAAUAACCAAAAGGAUAAGCGUGCAAAAUGCUUAGUACCAUGUCAGGCACACAGCAGAUGGUAGUGCAUGGCCCUGACUGCAUUUAGGAGCAGUGAGCCGCCACCUGGAAGGCCUUCUGGAUGACAUUUGCCAACUGCUGCUUUAAGGGAGAAGGCACACACGGGGAGAAGCCAGCCACGUGAAGAUGGAGGCAGAGAUUGGAGCUAUGCUGCCACCAGCCAAAGAACACCUGCAGCCACCAGAAGCUAGGAAGAGGCGAGGAAGGACUCAGGGGGAGCAUGGCCCUGCCGACACCUGGAUUUCAUACUUCCAGCCUCCAGAACGAGAUGGCGUCUUGCUUUCCUGCCCAGGCUGGUCUCGAACUACUGGGUUCAAGUGAUCCUUCUGCCUUGGCCUCCCGAAGUGUUGGGAUUACAGGCAUGAGCCAUCACGCCCAGCCAAAACAGCGUUUUUAAAGCACUUCCCAGGAAUAGCACAACCACUUUGGAAAUCAGUCUGCCAAUUUCUUAUAAAACUAAACAUUCAUCUACCCUAUAACCCAGAAAUUCCAUCCUUAGGAAUUCACUCAAGCAAAAUGAAAACAUAUGUUCAUAAAAAGUCUUGUACAAAUACGUUCAUAGCAGCUUCAUUCAUAAUAGCCCCCAAACCUGUGGUAUAUCCACACAAUGGAAUGCUAUUCAUCAAUAAAGAGAAACAAAAUAUUAAUAUGUGCAACAACAUGGAUGAAUUUAAAAAAUACUAUGCUGAAUAAAAGAAGCCUUAUACAAGGGUACAUACUACAUGGUUCUAUUUAUAUGGAGUUCUUAGAAUAAAGUUAAUCUAUGAUAGAAAAAAAUCAGAGCAGUGGUUGCCUCUGUGGGGUACGGGGUGGGGAAUGGCUGGGAAGGGGGAAGAGGGAAUUUCUGGGGUGAUGUUGAUAGGGAUUUGUACUAUAUCAAUGCAUGCCUCUGUCAAAAUUUACAGAAUAGUGUUUUUCAAAUUUGUG
rnacentral:lncRNA from 10 species